UCUCCAUUAAAUCAUUAAUCUCCAACAACGAACAACACCAGUUACUCCACCUCUCGAUCCAGAAGAAGAAUGAGAAAAGUCAGUGAUUUGUGGUAAGUUAUCACUCACGCCAGGGAGAAGACGAAGGGAAAGGAUUCAAGGAAGAAGGAACCAUCCAACUUUAACCAAGGAAACCCAUUAAGAGCCAUGGCCUAUUCUUCUUCUUCAUCAUCAAUCUUUGUAUUGUCUCUAGUCAUUCUGUUCUGUUCUAUUGAAUCAUCAUCAGCUCAAAUACCACCUUAUUCUCCAUGUUAUGGUAAAGUUUCUUUAGCUCUUCAUUAUGAAACUCUGUGUCCAUACUGUUCAAAUUUCACGGUGAAUUACUUACCACAAAUCUUCAACAAUGGACUCAUUGAUAUCAUCGAUCUUCAACUCAUUAAUUCCUUAUGGUAAUGCCAGAAUUACUUCUGAUAAAGUCAUUACCUGCCAGCAUGGACCAACUGAGUGUGAAUUGAACACAGUGGAGGCAUGUGCACUACAAGUCUGGCCUGCUCAGGUAGCACAAUAGUUCUGUCUGUUUUUUGAUCUGAGGGGGUUCAAUGUGUGUGUAUUUGUACUAUGUAUACUUUUAUUCUUUUUUGUAAUUUUUUUCACAGUAGUUUAGUUGUAUAGAGCAUGUCCUUCCCUGGUUCAAUUUUAUUAAACUAA